AUGAUGUGUCCUCUCCUGCCGCGGACCGGACGAGGCGGUGGCGCCCGCCUGAGGCCGGUCACGCUGGGGAGGCCCACCCUCCCCGGGGGGGGGGAGAGGCGUGCAGAGCACCAGGCAGCUCCUGGAGGCGCAGAAGAAUUCCCACGGGAGACUGGGAAGAAGCGGGCCUGCCCGGAAAGUCGCAGGGGUGGAAUACGACGGGCUCCACCAGUGCACGAGCUGGGCUCCCAGCCCAUCUGGCCUCAGGCGCUGCCAGCGCGUGGGGCCCAUGAGCAGCAGCCUCCGCACCCCCCGCCCCAAGGUCAGCAUUUCACCAGCCUGAGUGCCGUUUGCUUGGUGUCCGACACAGCCAUCUGUCAGAUGUUCCGGGGAACCUGGCCGCAAGGGAAGCGCUAUCUGGGAACCAGGAACAGUGAAGCUGGUCCGUUCCCCAGGAAGAGAGAGACCGAAGGAAAAAUUAACCCAGGAACUGAGUCACGCAUCCAUGUCUAUCCGUGUGCGGGGAGUCGGAUUCGAUCCCUCCGUCUUGGCCAGACCGCAGACAGGUCGUCUCGGCGCGAGCAGAGGAUCUGGAAGUUACUACGCUCUCGGGAACCACGGUCCACAGGUAAUGCUGUUGGACACCUGAGCUGGAGAACACCUGUCUUAGAUGAAGACCUUUGUGACUCUUGGCUUAGACCACCUUCUAUCUCCAGAGGCCAAGGUAGGUGUGUGGUGCCUUCACUGGCUCCCAGACACAACAUACUCUUUUUAAAGAGUUUGUGCACUCGGGCUGUCACUUGCCCAUUGGCCCAGGCUAAGUAG
ensembl:lncRNA